UCACCCAUCACAGGGAUUUGAAUCGCCGACCUUCUGAUCAGCAAGCCCAAGAGGCGCAUACCUGUGUAUGGAACCUGUAUGGAAUGGAAUAUUCAGUUUCACAUCUCCUAAGAGAACUACCAGACCAUUUUCUACAGGGGCACCUUGCUCUCUCCCUUCAGAGAAAGAUGCCUCGUGUACUUCAUGCUGAAGAUUAUUCUUGUGAAAAAAGGGACAGAAUUAAAAAACAGCUUAAAAAAUGAUGAUACAGAGAACUAAAGACUAGAUCUGUAGUAAAGCAUAACCUUUACAUGUAGAAGGUCCCAGGUUUAAUCCCUGACAUCUCCAAGUGGGGAUGGGCAUGUUUGAAACCCAGUUAGUGUAGACCAUGGGUUCUCAAACUGUGGUCCUUGAGCUUCCUUUAGAACCUCUGUUGUGUGUCUGCAAACAAGCCAUUGCACGCCACCCCAAUGACCCCAAGAUUCCAGAGGUUCCAUGUGUUUUCCCAGGGUUUGGCUUCCUUGGAAUGGGGGAUUGCAGAGAUUGUGGUGUCUUUACGAUACAUGGUUUAUUUACACAUAUAUACAACCUGAGCCUAUGAUGGAGGGGUUCAUGGUGUCAACACCCCAGAAGGUCUUUCUCCUUCCAUAGUCACAGCCUUGGAUUCAAACAGAAAUCAAGCAUGGCUCUCAAUCUCUGGCUUCUGCCUCCUUUUUUUCUUCUAGCCUAGCUUACCCAUGCUCAGCUCUGGCCUGUGUCUUUCUCACUACCAGCCAGGUGAGGGAGAGGCACAGAGCAACUUUCAGACUAACGACCAUGCUUAGGCCCAUUACCAAGAUGCUGGUCUGGCUACUUCAACAAUUGAAUCCUGCAAAUUCACAACAAUACAAUUAGAACUCAUAUAGAAUCUAGCACAGCACAUUACAGUGGUUCCACUGGUGGAGCCAGAGGGGAGAUUAGCAGUUUUUUUGCAGGACCUGGGGAAAACACAGUAGGAGGCCUGGCUUCGGGACCCAGCAUUAAGGAUGGGGCUGCUUCCAUUCGUAGAGCUCACUGCAAAAACUUCCUGUUCACCUAAAAUGUUCAGCUUUGAGGAAAAGGCUGAGGGUGGGGUGUGGGGAGAGAAAGGAAGUUGGCCUUUGCUUCUUUGGCAACCAAACUGAAAAAAUAAAACCCUACAACCCAAACAAAGUGGUUGGCAAGCUUACAAGCUAGCAACAGCUGAACUUUGCUGAUAAGAUUUUCUUUUGAUUUCUUAUAAUUGUUUCCAUCAAGCCAAUCUCCUGAUUAGCUUAUUCUCUUUCUAUACUUGAUGCAUCACUAAGAUUAGCAUCCCUAAUUUGCUCCUUACCAGAACAGAUUUCAGUUGGAGAACUAUAACCUGUCCUUCACAAUUCUGAAUGUGGCGUAAAACAUUCUGAAUAAAGUUUGGAUGAGGAAUGAUGGAGCAGGUUUGCUAGUCAUCUUUUUAUUCCUCUCACUGAAGAGGCAUCUUCCUGAGACGGGAAGAGGUAAAUAACGCAAUAGUUCUUUGGGAAACCAAAAUGUCAACCAUCAUUAAUAAUCCAUACUUUAAAAAGUGCAUCUGGUUUGCAGCACAUUGUAUACGGUGUUAUUAAUCCUCUUUCUCACGCACUGUAGCCAUUGUACAGUAGGAUAGCAAUGUUUACUUGAGGGAAUCUUUGUUUUGAAUCUUCGGCGUAUCUCCUAUUGUUCUGGGAACAUCAUGAGCUGGAAAGGGUGGAUAAAGGCUCCACUGUGCAUCUUUCUCAGUAAAUAAAAUAUGCAGGAUGUUCAUACCGUUUAAAAGGAGAUGGAGCAUAUCUCUGUACUUAAUUGCACUGGCUGUAUUAAAAUAUUUUUUCCUAUGGCUCAUUAG